rnacentral:rRNA from 2 species
GUCAGGCGGGGCCACCCGCCGAGUUUAAGCAUAUAAAUAAGCGGAGGAGAAGAAACUUACGAGGAUUCCCCUAGUAACGGCGAGCGAACCGGGAUCAGCCCAGCUUGAGAAUCGGGCGGCGGCGCCGUCCGAAUUGUAGUCUGGAGAAGCGUCCUCAGCGACGGACCGGGCCCAAGUCCCCUGGAAAGGGGCGCCGGGGAGGGUGAGAGCCCCGUCCG